rnacentral:rRNA from 1 species
GGGGAAUAUUGCACAAUGGGCGGAAGCCUGAUGCAGCAACGCCGCGUGCGGGAUGACGGCCUUCGGGUUGUAAACCGCUUUCGCCUGUGACGAAGCGUGAGUGACGGUAAUGGGUAAAGAAGCACCGGCUAACUACGUGCCAGCAGCCGCGGUGAUACGUAGGGUGCGAGCGUUGUCCGGAUUUAUUGGGCGUAAAGGGCUCGUAGGUGGUUGAUCGCGUCGGAAGUGUAAUCUUGGGGCUUAACCCUGAGCGUGCUUUCGAUACGGGUUGACUUGAGGAAGGUAGGGGAGAAUGGAAUUCCUGGUGGAGCGGUGGAAUGCGCAGAUAUCAGGAGGAACACCAGUGGCGAAGGCGGUUCUCUGGGCCUUUCCUGACGCUGAGGAGCGAAAGCGUGGGGAGCGAACAGGCUUAGAUACCCUGGUAGUCCACGCUGUAAACGGUGGGUACUAGGUGUGGGGUCCAUUCUACGGGUUCCGUGCCGUAGCUAACGCUUUAAGUACCCCGCCUGGGGAGUACGGCCGCAAGGCUA